rnacentral:rRNA from 1 species
UACGGAGGAUCCGAGCGUUAUCCGGAUUUAUUGGGUUUAAAGGGUGCGUAGGCGGCCUAUUAAGUCAGGGGUGAAAGACGGUAGCUUAACUAUCGCAGUGCCUUUGAUACUGAUGGGCUUGAAUGUAGUUGAGGUAGGCGGAAUGUGACAAGUAGCGGUGAAAUGCAUAGAUAUGUCACAGAACACCAAUUGCGAAGGCAGCUCACAAAACUGUAACUGACGCUGAGGCACGAAAGCGUGGGUAGUCAAACAGGA